GUAGGUGGCAAGCGUUGUCCGGAAUUAUUGGGCGUAAAGCGCGCGCAGGCGGUUCUUUAAGUCUGAUGUGAAAGCCCACGGGCUCAACCGUGGAGGGUCAUUGGAAACUGGAGAACUUGAGUACAGAAGAGGAAAGCGGAAUUCCACGUGUAGCGGUGAAAUGCGUAGAGAUGUGGAGGAACACCAGUGGCGAAGGCGGCUUUCUGGUCUGUAACUGACGCUGAGGCGCGAAAGCGUGGGGAGCAAACAGGAUUAGAUACCCUGGCAGUCCACGCCGUAAACGAUGAGUGCUAAGUGUUAGGGGGUUUCCGCCCCUUAGUGCUGCAGCUAACGCAUUAAGCACUCCGCCUGGGGAGUACGGCCGCAAGGCUG
rnacentral:rRNA from 1 species